CGCUUCGCAUGUCCUCUCCCCAUUCGUCGAGCUUCGAACCCUUUGUCCAUCGCCGAGACGGACAAUGGCUUCAGACAUCUCCAUCCCAAUUCCAUCAGAACUUGGCCCAUUCUCUCGUCUGGGAACUGUGCAAUUUAUCGGAACAGAGAGACCUUGGUUAAGUUUUUGCAUGGAUGAGCCCGUCCGCGAUGAGGAGGGCUGCAUGUGUCUGUCGCAAGUGGCGAUAUACUAUUCGCAAUCCUAAUUUGUGGGGCGAUGCAUGCCUUAGAAUUUGGCAGGUACAUAAAAUCUUCAGAAACAAUUCAUGGUCAUUUUUGCUCAUCACUGUAAUGACUAAUGCUUACAAGCCCCCCCCCCCUGCUUAUGAAGAGUUCUGGAGCAGAGGCAAAUUACAGAAUUGUUCAGUCCUUGUAUGAAUGGUUCUUGGAGGAAAAUGUGGAUUCAGAGACCAAGAAUUCGAAACGAUGGUACUUAUUGGUCAUUCAUGGAUGUGUUGUGCUGCAUAAGUAGGAGAGCUUUCCACCUUUUUUAUAUCACUUUAUUAAAGCCAAACACUAAUUUAUAUCUGGACUACUUUCCUUCUUUUUCAUGUUUUUAUGGUGUCAAGCUGGCCUACUUAAUAGACCAGACCUUAUCAUGCCUUUCAAGGGCUCUUAGGUGCAGCAGAUUCCUAAAAAGGAACCUUUUUGACUGAAGAACAUUUUCAUGUCCUUGCUUGCAAAUUUCAAGAACCCAUUUAUCAACUUUCUUUUUCAUGAUUCUAUCAUUAUUUAAUCUUCUGGGUUCAUAUAUGUUUUUAGACAUCUCUUCUGGGGAUCAUAAAAUUUCAAGUUCCUCAUCUUAUCAGGUCUCUAUGUUAGCCGAAACACCUACAUUCGUACAGGGGUUGCAGAGUGGGAAGUGACAAAUCCUGUCCAUGUGAUAAUCAAAUGACUGGCUCCAAAAGAAGCAGCCUAUAAAGGCGGCUUCCAAAUAAAAGUGAGGUCAAUGAUCAUGGAGAUUACAUGCUUAGAAUUGUGGAAGGUUGGGAAGAACAUGAGACACAUGAUCCAGAUGUGCCUGCUAUUUCACACAGCAGGGGUUUGACACCCUUUGUAUUUGUUCCAUUUGAAUAGGUACUACUGUCUAUAGAAGGUUUUAUUCCCUAAGUUUUCUUGUUAAGCCAUCUCAACAAUGAUGUUGGUAAGGUAAGUAGUUAUUUUUAUUGAGCAUUAUUGUUAAUAACAUGUGAAUGUUCUAAAAAAAGCAGUUUGCCGGCAACUCUGCCACUGCAUUGUGUAACUGUGGUAGACAAUCACAUAUACUGAUGCAUAUAAACUGAAAUAAAGAAAAAAAAUUAUCUCAAUUGCAAACACAACAUGUCUUUUGCUAUUCAUUAUUGUGAAUUCAGUGUGGCCUGCUCUUUAGUCUAGUGAUUGCAUGGGGGCUCAUCUCUCCUUGUGGAUAUCUCUGCCCUAAGAUGCCCUGCAUCUUCUCUUUCUACAGCUCUAAGAUCAUUGU